rnacentral:rRNA from 1 species
GAUGAACGCUGGCGGCGUGCCUAAUACAUGCAAGUCGAGCGAACGGACGAGAAGCUUGCUCUUCUGAUGUUAGCGGCGGACGGGUGAGUAACACGUGGAUAACCUACCUAUAAGACUGGGAUAACUUCGGGGAACCGGAGCUAAUACCGGAUAAUAUUUUGAACCGCAUGGUUCAAAAGUGAAAGACGGUCUUGCUGUCACUUAUAGAUGGAUCCGCGCUGCAUUAGCUAGUUGGUAAGGUAACGGCUUACCAAGGCAACGAUGCAUAGCCGACCUGAGAGGGUGAUCGGCCACACUGGAACUGAGACACGGUCCAGACUCCUACGGGAGGCAGCAGUAGGGAAUCUUCCGCAAUGGGCGAAAGCCUGACGGAGCAACGCCGCGUGAGUGAUGAAGGUCUUCGGAUCGUAAAACUCUGUUAUUAGGGAAGAACAAAUGUGUAAGUAACUGUGCACAUCUUGACGGUACCUAAUCAGAAAGCCACGGCUAACUACGUG